GAGGAAUAUUGGUCAAUGGGCGAGAGCCUGAACCAGCCAAGUAGCGUGCAGGAAGACGGCCCUAUGGGUUGUAAACUGCUUUUGUAUGGGGAUAAAGUCAAUCACGUGUGAUUGUUUGCAGGUACCAUACGAAUAAGGACCGGCUAAUUCCGUGCCAGCAGCCGCGGUAAUACGGAAGGUCCGGGCGUUAUCCGGAUUUAUUGGGUUUAAAGGGAGCGUAGGCAGGAGAUUAAGUGUGUUGUGAAAUGUAGACGCUCAACGUCUGACUUGCAGCGCAUACUGGUUUCCUUGAGUAUGCACAACGUAGGCGGAAUUCGUCGUGUAGCGGUGAAAUGCUUAGAUAUGACGAAGAACUCCGAUUGCGAAGGCAGCUUACGGGAGCACAACUGACGCUGAAGCUCGAAGGUGCGGGUAUCAAACAGGAUUAGAUACCCUGGUAGUCCGCACAGUAAACGCUGGAUGCCCGCUGUUGGUUCAUUAGAGUCAGCGGCCAAGCGAAAGCAUUAAGCAUCCCACCUGGGGAGUACGCCGGCAACGGUG
rnacentral:rRNA from 1 species